rnacentral:lncRNA from 1 species
ACAUGAUCAUAGAUCACUGGAAAUACCAGAUGAAAAUUCCAGAGGACACCAACGAUUGUACCUGUGUGUCGCACUACAACACUGGCAGAAGUAGAAGCUGCACGAGAGAGUGGGGAAGAAAAAGCAAGAAGGGUAGAAAUGGGAUGAUAAUCAAAUGCCCCAGGACUUUGAAACUUCAAAAAAAAGAGUAUCAGAAAAGAGAGAAGAUAAAUGUGUGUGA